UUCUUCUUCCUUGAGCCACUCAAAAGCCCUAGCCCUCCCUUUGUUUUCGUUUCUCCAGCCGCCAUCGACGCAACUUCGUUUGCCGCCUCCAGCCACCAGUGUUCCGCCGAUGUUGGUCCGAGCCAUCUUUGCCACCGCCAACCCAACCCAAUUUCUACUGCAUCGUUGCAAAGCUCAGCCUCGCCCUCCGGAUCCACGCGUCGUCGCCGUCUCACGUUCGCUUCAACUGUAGACUCGCGCGACUAGAAACCCAGCCUCGUUCGCCACUUCAGCUGCCGUCUCACGUUCGCUCUAGCUGCGGACUCGCGCGACCAGAAAUGCAGCUUCGUUCGCCGCUCGUCCAGCCCGCUAUCCAAGCCCAGCCGCCUUUCUCCACUGUCGUUCGUUGGAUUUCGGCGAAUGUUGGUAAGUUUUGGGUGAGAUCCAAGACUGGGGUACUUCAGAGUGCGCAACGUGUUGCCCAGCGGAUUCGAGUUCGUUUGGCAAUUAGUUUGUAUUCUUGAAGGUUCCAAGUCGUCAUCCAUUGAGUUUUAAAAUCUGCUUAGAAGAGAUUUUGGAGUCGAAAUCUUGCGAGUGUUUGUGGAGCAAGUUUCGUUUUGGGGGACUUAAUUCAAGGUUUAUUUUGUUGAAGAGCAUUAGCUUGGAUUAAUAUCUGAACUUCACUUCGAGGUAAGUAAUCUUACCACUGGAACUGCCCACGGGCCAGGAUCUAGUUGUAUGCUAGCAUGAUAAGUGUAUGUUAUGGUAAAUGUUAGCAUGUUGAUUGAUAGUAUGACUUGAAUCAAAGUAUGUUCUGGCACAAAUUCUGAUUUAUUUACAUAUACACCUAAGUGCUUGAUCGUUAGUAUGUGAUAGUAUGUGAUUCCAUAUGUCGAUGUCUGAUCUGCUGGCGUUGAGGCAUACUUGUAUGUUGUGGAUUUAUGAUAUUAGUUAUACCUAGAUGAUGUAUAAUAUGUUGUUAAGAAUUAUGGGUAUGUGAUGUAGCCAUGGUAUUAAGGAUUUUUUUUAUGCAUGCUUUAGAACCGUACAAUGUUGAAUCUUAGCACGUUAGAACCGUGUGAAUA